AGUGAACGCUGGCGGCAUGGCUAAGACAUGCAAGUCGAACGGGAUCUACUGAAGGGUAACCGGAUGUAGUGAGAGUGGCGAACGGGUGCGUAACACGUGAACAAUCUACCUUAAAGUUGGGGAUAGCUCGAGGAAACUCGAAUUAAUACCGAAUGUGGUUCCUUCUCGCAUGGGAAAGAUACUAAAGCUUGUAACGGCGCUUUAAGAGGGGUUCGCGGCCUAUCAGCUUGUUGGUGAGGUAACGGCUCACCAAGGCCAAGACGGGUAGCUGGUCUGAGAGGAUGAUCAGCCACACUGGAACUGAGACACGGU
rnacentral:rRNA from 1 species